AAUAACCUCAGCCAUAAAUUUCCGUAUUCAACUUUAACCAUCCGUCUUAUUUAAAAUAUUUUUAUGAUUAGUAUUUUUAUUGCUAUUAGAUGAUAAACAUGAAUAUUACUUUAUAUGUGAUUAUUUUUUAAUUUCUUCAUAAAUUGUUUAAAUAAAACGGACGGUCAAAUGUUGAACAUGAAUAUCUAUAGCUGCACUUAUU
rfam:Oryza barthii chromosome 6, whole genome shotgun sequence.